UCUAACCUAGAAAUAUACCGACAGCAGACGACUUCUUCGAGCAUCACUCUUGCCUGGCAACCAGGAUUCUAUGGCGGGUUCCAACAAACCUUUAGCCUUCAGUACUGUACAAAUGAAACGCUAGAACCAUUAGAUCAAGAGUGUGAUCUUGCAACACACAUAGCUGGGACGAACUAUACUCUGACGAGCCUAAAACCGUACACCUGGUACGAAAUUACUCUGUGGGCGGCGAACGUUGCCGGGAACAGUAGUACAAGGAAAGCCAUGGCGUCAACAGCACCGUUAUCGCCAAGAAAUUACGGAGUUUACAUCACACUGGACACAUCGACAGGAAUCCUGGCCCUUUCAGAGAGAACAAAUACAGACCCAUCCAUAGAGGAACUCUGCUUCAUUAUCCUUCGCAAUAGGACCGAAUGUGACUUUGUUAAUGGAACAGAGUGCAUUGAACCCGGCACAGAGGUCAGCAUAGGUCCGGAAGAAGACCCAGUUGUGGUGACCUUUGGAAGGGGUUUGUGUAGUGAACCGGAUUAUC